UACGGGGGGGGCAAGCGUUGUUCGGAAUUACUGGGCGUAAAGGGCUCGUAGGCGGCCAACUAAGUCAGACGUGAAAUCCCUCGGCUUAACCGGGGAACUGCAUCUGAUACUGGGUGGCUUGAGUUCGGGAGAGGGAUGCGGAACUCCAGGUGUAGCGGUGAAAUGCGUAGAUAUCUGGAGGAACACCGGUGGCGAAGGCGGCAUCCUGGACCGGCACUGACGCUGAGGAGCGAAAGCCAGGGGAGCAAACGGG
rnacentral:rRNA from 1 species